rnacentral:rRNA from 1 species
CCUACGGGAGGCUGCAGUGGGGAAUAUUGGACAAUGGGGGGAACCCUGAUCCAGCCAUGCCGCGUGUGUGAAGAAGGCCCUCGGGUUGUAAAGCACUUUCAGUGAGGAAGAACGCCUGGUGGUUAAUACCCAUCAGGAAAGACAUCACUCACAGAAGAAGCACCGGCUAACUCCGUGCCAGCAGCCGCGGUAAUACGGAGGGUGCGAGCGUUAAUCGGAAUUACUGGGCGUAAAGCGCGCGUAGGUGGCUUGAUAAGCCGGUUGUGAAAGCCCCGGGCUCAACCUGGGAACGGCAUCCGGAACUGUCAAGCUAGAGUGCAGGAGAGGAAGGUAGAAUUGCCGGUGUAGCGGUGAAAUGCGUAGAGAUCGGGAGGAAUACCAGUGGCGAAGGCGGCCUUCUGGACUGACACUGACACUGAGGUGCGAAAGCGUGGGUAGCAAACAGGAUUAGAUACCCCUGUAGUC